rnacentral:rRNA from 1 species
CCGGAAUUGCUAGUAAUGGCAGGUCAGCAUACUGCCGUGAAUACGUUCCCGGGCCUUGUACACACCGCCCGUCACACCAUGAGAGUUGGGAAUACCCGAAGCCUGUGAGCUAACAUUUAUGAGGCAGCAGUCGAAGGUAGAAUCAAUGAUUGGGGUGAAGUCGUAACAAGGUAUC